GACGAACGCUGGCGGCGUGCUUAACACAUGCAAGUCGUACGGUAAGGCCCUUUCGGGGGUACACGAGUGGCGAACGGGUGUGUAACACGUGAGUAACCUGCCCACAACUUUGGGAUAACGCUAGGAAACUGGUGCUAAUACUGGAUAUGUGCUCCUGCUGCAUGGUGGGGGUUGGAAAGCUCCGGCGGUUGUGGAUGGACUCGCGGCCUAUCAGCUUGUUGGUGGGGUAGUGGCCUACCAAGGCGGCGACGGGUAGCCGGCCUGAGAGGGUGACCGGCCACAUUGGGACUGAGAUACGGCCCAGACUCCUACGGGAGGCAGCAGUGGGGAAUAAUGCACAAUGGGCGCAAGCCUGAUGCAGCAACGCCGCGUGCGGGAUGACGGCCUUCGGGUUGUAAACCGCUUUCAGCAGGGACGAAGCUUUUUGUGACGGUACCUGCAGAAGAAGCACCGGCUAACUACGUG
rnacentral:rRNA from 1 species